rnacentral:piRNA from 1 species
UAGUCCAUUAGGGUAUUAUGAGGAUUC